rnacentral:rRNA from 1 species
AUGCAAGUCGAGCGGUAACAGGGGAAGCUUGCUUCCCGCUGACGAGCGGCGGACGGGUGAGUAAUGCUUAGGAAUCUGCCCAGUAGUGGGGGAUAGCCCGGGGAAACCCGGAUUAAUACCGCAUACGUCCUACGGGAGAAAGCAGGGGAUCUUCGGACCUUGCGCUAUUGGAUGAGCCUAAGUCGGAUUAGCUAGUUGGUGGGGUAAAGGCCUACCAAGGCGACGAUCCGUAGCUGGUCUGAGAGGAUGAUCAGCCACAUCGGGACUGAGACACGGCCCGAACUCCUACGGGAGGCAGCAGUGGGGAAUAUUGGACAAUGGGGGCAACCCUGAUCCAGCCAUGCCGCGUGUGUGAAGAAGGCUUUCGGGUUGUAAAGCACUUUCAGUAGGGAGGAAAACCUUAUGGUUAAUACCCAUGAGGCUUGACGUUACCUACAGAAGAAGCACCGGCUAACUCCGUGCCAGCAGCCGCGGUAAUACGGAGGGUGCAAGCGUUAAUCGGAAUUACUGGGCGUAAAGCGCGCGUANGUGGUUUGGUA